ACCUCCAGCUUGACUACUCAUUAACAGAUGAGUUCUGCAGAAACCACUUCUUGGUGGGACUGACCAAAUUGCUGAGCAUCCCAUGGCCCAGUCAAGUUGACAUAUACAAUUAGCCAUCAUUACACCUUUACCCACAGGAACACAAAGGAAAUGACUAAUAUCCUCUCUAAUUCUAACUUUCUUACAACAUAAUUUUGUGGUAUUGAAAUGAAUAAUUAGAGUCUUUAUUAUUAGUGCACUGGGAUGCACUAAAAUAUCUGUACGCUGCUUCUAACAGCUAAGUAAAAUGCAACAAUCUAGCCAACUAACAUUUUAUAGCUGUGAUAUCCACCAGAGGUGGUAUUUCAUGAUUCAACCAGGAUGCCAAGAAGUGAGUGAGGUUUAAAUUUAUAAAGGAUUGCAAGAGAUUACAUUUAAUAUUGGUUAGACUAUUUAGCAGUAUAGACUAGAAGUUUAUAAUAUUCAAAUUGGGAGUACUUGUAUAUUAAUAAUUAGUGUA
rnacentral:lncRNA from 10 species